rnacentral:lncRNA from 1 species
GGGCAGAGCGCGUGUGGCGGCCGAGCACAUGGGCCCGCGGGCCGGGCGGGCUCGGGGCGGCCGGGACGAGGAGGGGCGACGACGAGCUGCGAGCAAAGAUGUGCCCCGGGACCCCCGGCACCUUCCAGUGGAUUUCCUUGCGGAAAGGAUGUUGGCGGUCCCUGUGACCUGUGGAGACACGGCCAGAUCUGCCCUCCAGCCUGAUCUUUUGGCCAGAAGGAGAUUAAAAAGAUGCCCCUCAAGAUGGCUGUGCCUGUCAGCUGCAUGGAGCUUCGUUCAAGUAUUUUCUGAGCCUGAUGGAUUUACAGUGAUCUUCAGUGGUCUGGGGAAUAACGCUGGUGGAACCAUGCACUGGAAUGACACACGCCCGGCACAUUUCAGGAUACUAAAAGUGGUUUUAAGGGAGGCUGUGGCUGAAUGCCUCAUGGAUUCUUACAGCUUGGAUGUCCAUGGGGGACGAAGGACUGCAGCUGGCUGAGAGGGUUGAGAUCUCUGUUUACUUAGAUCUCUGCCAACUUCCUUUGGGUCUCCCUAUGGAAUGUAAGACCCCGACUCUUCCUGGUGAAGCAUCUGAUGCACGUUCCAUCCGGCGCUCAGCUGGGCUUGAGAAUCCUGUUACACCUGGGAUUUAGGCACUUUCAAUCUGAAAAAAUACAUAUCCUUUCAGCACUCUGGACGGACUUGAGAACUGUCCUUACGUGACCUAAAGCUGGAGUAUUUUGAGAUUGGAGAAUUAAGAAGGACAGAAUAACGGGCUCCCAGAUUCACAAGCCCCACCAAGAGGAUCACCCCAGGAACGCUUGGAGGCUGAGGAGUUCACUGAGGCUACUGCAUCUUGAGACUCAGGAUGAAGACCCAGCUUGGGGCUGUCAAAGGUUUUUUGCAUGUCUGACACCCAUGACUCCACCUGGACCUUAUGGCUCCACCCAGAAGCAAUUCAGCCCAACAGGAGGACAGCUUCAACCCAUUACGAUUUCAUCUCUGCCCCAACCACUCAGCAGCAAGCACCUGUUACCUGUCCACCCCCACCCCUUCCCCCAAACUGCCUUUGAAAAAUCCCUAACCUAUGAGCUUUGAAUAAGAUGAGUACGAACUUCAUCGCCCACGUGGCGUGGCCGGCCUCGUGUCUAUUAAAUUCUUUUUCUACUACAA